rnacentral:rRNA from 1 species
GAGGAAGGUGGGGACGAGGUCAAGUCAUCAUGCCCCUUACGUCUAGGGCUGCACACAUGCUACAAUGGGCGGUACAGAGGGCUGCUAAACCGCGAGGUGGAGCCAAUCCCUAAAGCCGCUCUCAGUUCAGAUUGCAGGCUGCAACUCGCCUGCAUGAAGUUGGAGUUGCUAGUAAUCCCGGAUCAGCACUGCCGGGGUGAAUACGUUCCCGGGCCUUGUACACACCGCCCGUCAAACCACGAAAGUUGGCAACACCCGAAGCCGGUGGCCUAACCGCAAGGAAGGAGCCGUCGAAGGUGGGGUCGGUGAUUGGGGUUAAGUCGUAACAAGGUAGCCGUAA